GGACCCACAGUGGCACAUGGUGAGGAUAAGGUGCCUGUCCUCUGCUGCUCAGACCAUGGCAGGUGGGUCUUUUACAGCCCGACACAGCACGUUGCUCUUUGCCAAAUGUCAGCGUGUUUGACUUCAAUUUCUUGCUCUUGUCUGACACCUGAAACCAGCAGAACACUACUGCCUGAAAUUGUUUCCUACCCCCAGAGGAAACCUCAACAAAUAGAAAACACGAUAUUACCUCAGCCUAGAGGAGCACCGGGAACAACGCAUCGAGCCAGUGGUGCUGCAAUCCAGAUCACCCGCCCAUAGACAGCACCAUUUCUCUGGAAAAUGGCACCACCAGUAGCUCUACUCCUUCCCCGAUUCAGUAUUCUGGUGCUUUUUGUGUGCUUUAAUAAAGAAGAAAUGAAACCCCAAACUGCGUCUCAAGUACAGAAGGUUCACCUGCUCUGGCUGCUGAGAGAUGUUUAUUGACAACACCUUCUGGGCUGUCCAGGCAGAAGAUUCAAGGAGAAAGCACCUCAGGAUCCAGAUCAACUACCGAAAAUCAAAUUGUGGCCCAAUUAUCAUCAAAAAAAUUGGGUGAGGUCAACAGCCCCACCCGAAGGGUAUUUUUCCUUGUUGCAGCAGUUCAGGACAUAAUUUGCUGCCUACCAUAACCAUAAUGUUUUUUAAAUUGAGUUCCUUCUGAAUGUAAUUUACUGCUAUGGUUUACUGAGCUUAUUUUAACACUACAUCGGGAGAUUAAAUAUUAAACUCUCAUUUUAACUGUUUUAUAAAGGUUACAUUAGUACAUUCCACUUCUUUAUUGCUCUGUUGAAUGUCAAGGUGCAGAGCACUCAGCACAGCCCACUGGUGUCUGGGAGAAAUAAAGGUCAUGUCCCGUACAUCUGCUUCAAAAGUACAAACUCUGCUCUACCCAGAAAAUUGCCCACCAAAGAACGCCUACAACAGAUUAGGAAAAUAGGGGUCAUUUGCACCCAGAGUAUCAGCAGUGCUAGAGGAAUGUCUGACCCGGGAGCACGUGCUGGCCUGCAGGGCUUUCCCAUUUUGACCUCAGUGAUGUUUGCAACUCCUCGUGCCCUGGCCAUGAAAACAAAGGACGUAGUGAUAGAGCUUGUGCUGGGAGGCCACGGGGAGCUGCAUACACGGGGGUGAGGUGUGCGGUCACUUCUCCGCUUGCACAGUCACCAGAGGUACAGUGGAGAGCAGAAAUGAGAAAUGAGAAACCCAGGGACAGCGCAACCGAGUGGGACUGGAAAAACCCCAAGGCCGCAGGGCCUUCGGCACUUCGGCUGUGCACUGCAGGCCCCUGGAAACACCUUGCACCCUCAUGGUGUGAUUCACGCUCGGGUGCUGUGAGGUUUGACACAAACAUGCGGCCGACCAACAGCAGAGCCGGGGCGCAGAGCAGGGCCCCUGCUCCCACUUGGGUGCCACAGGCUUUUAGCACCUGGGUGCAACGCAGCCCUCAGCUGCCCCGGCCACAGCCGGUCCUGCUCUGAGAGGUAGCAGUGGGGCUCUCUGCAGUGAGGAAGGAACAUUUGAUUUUGUACUUCUUCGGAUUUUUUUUUUUCAUUUUCUUUCUAUAUCUGACUUAUCUUUCUACUUUUCCUUCCUCAUCUUCCCUACAGUAUUUCUAUCCGUGCACCUUCUCUAGUACAAUGGCCUGCUGCUCUUAAAUGUGUUUAAAUGUGACGCAUUUGUCCUCAGUGUGAAAUCCUAAGUAACUAACUCGAGACAAUUCUCAGACAGAGAAGACUUUCUGGUUGAGUUUCAGAGAUCCAGAAGUCAGUUCAGUGUCAUGUUUGGGCCCCUAGAGAUGCACGAGACAGAACUAAAGUUCAGUAGAUGCCUUUUCCCCUGUGCAAUUUGUUCUUUGUUACAACAACACUGGGAGUAAAAACGAAGAAGAAAAAAUAGUGUCUGAUUAGCACGGGGAAUAUAACCUCAUACGCAGCACUUCUACACUUCCAUAUGCUGCUCAGUGAAAUAAUACUGGCAGGAAAAAAGAUUUCCAGAGCCUUGGGCAUGUGUGUAGCAUAACCCAUAUUUCCCUUUUGGUCACACUGUAGAAGAGGAGCCCUGGCAGGCAGCACCCAUAGCCACGGCAGCACCGGGGCCUUGCCGCCAGCAGCUGCACUGUGCAAGGUGGGGUAGCUGAGAGUGGGUUCACACCUGUUGGCAGCCUGCACAUGUCUCACUGCUGGGAUGGCCAAGGAGCAGGGCCUGGCACAGAUCUCAUGAGCUCCUGCAAAUACCAGCUGCACAUGGCACUCCCACAGCUGCUGCUUCACGUUCCAACACGCUGGGCCAGUUCAUACAAUUAGUAAUGCAUCCCUGCCUCCUCAACAGAGCGGUCUGUGCCUCCAGGUACUGAUUGUGUGUCGAGGCAAUUAAUUGCAGCGAUGUGCUACAUGAAGAAAGGUGCCCAUGUGCAGAGCGUGCUGCUUUUCCUGAAGGCCCCAGCAGCGGGACAGCCCUCACGGGAGCACAGCCACAAACCAGCACCCCGCCACCGCCCGCUCUUCAGCAAAGGCGACCGCUUUCCACCUCCGUCUGUUCACGAGACUCUGGUGGCUAAAUGUAAAAGCCGAUCACCACAAAGAACUCUUAAGAGGCUUUCUUCUUCUUCCUUCGUCUCCCACGCACUUUGGUAGUUCGCAAGAAGCAGUUCCCUCACAAAAGAUUGGUCCUGCACUGUUAGUGACUCUCACAGAGUGAUGACCAUAUCUUCCACGAGGCACCACUCAGUCGGCACAUGGCUGGGCGCAGGGUGGGGAGAGCACGGGCAGCCUGAGGGUGUGGGCCUUGCAUAUAAGCAAGUCAAUGCAGCAUGAUGCUGCUCGUUCCACUGAGCCUCCUCCUCCUCAAGGCAGGAAGGGACAGGCCGGCCAGGUGUGCCCCCAGGUCCCAUGUCUGACUCCGGCACCUGCGCGCAGGGCUCGUGCUGCAGCCCACAGCAGUGAGGCUGCAUGGAGGGCUGGGUGCUGGGGAGAUGCUGCCAUGGUUGUGAUUUUCCGCUUUGACUCAUCACUGCCUGUUGUCGUCAUCCAUCACACACAGCAGUGGGGUACAGUCACGUAUUCAACCCCCUUGUUGGCAGGCAGGAGGGCUGCACGGAGGCUACAUGACCCUUGCCAUGGGGAGAGAAGCCCCCACACACCACAGGGAUGGGUGCAGCCUUGCACUCUGUACUGGGCCCUGGGGAUGAGUGCAAACACUUCGUCAUGUGGUCGCACUGCUCCUUGGCUUGCUCCCCAGCCAUUCCCCUCUCAGCACCCCUGGAGUGGCUGCAGUGUCAUUUCUCAUGAUCUGACAGUAAUGCUCCAGCUUCACCAUUUUGGUUAAGCUUUCACCCUAUGCAUUAGAGAAAUGAGUCACGCUCACCAUCUCUCAGUGCACUCCCAUUCUCAGCACCCUGCCUUAAUAUUCAGUUUUUCACUAUCACCUGAAAUACACUCUCCUUAAUCUCCAGUAUUAGUUUAUGAGAGGAAAUAAAAACAUUAAAAAUAAAUCACAGUUAUAAUGAGAAGCUUCCAGAGCCUCUAACCCUGAAGCGCACUCCUACAGCUACACCAUGGGAUCUCCACGCUCAGUACUAAGAGGAUAAUUUUUCAAUGCACCCCAGUUUAACAGAUACACACAGCUCUUCGUUUUCACCUGCAAAUGACUGCAUAGAUUAACUGAGAGACAAAACUCAACCAGGCAUGUCUGCCCCCUGUAAGGAAUUUCAUAGAAUGGAGAGGACCACAAUACCCUCAUCAGAGCUUAAAAACCUUCCUCCUUAUACUGGAUUUACAUAACUCAUUGAGUGCUUUAGAUUAAAGGUUAAAAAAAAUCCUAUUUGCCCACAAGGCUGGGAUAGGAAAUGAGCAGAGCAAAGCUUCAGCCCAGAAGGGGUUUAAUCAUUCCAAUUUGGUUUUGAACCCACCCAAGUGCCCUCUCGCCAUGCAAUAGCACCUAGGGGCAUGCACAGACCUACAGGGGACCAUUU